rnacentral:tRNA from 1 species
GGGGUUAGUGCAACGAGGUUAGCAUGUCCGCCUGUGACGCUGGACGCCUAGGUUCGAAUCCUGGUAGCACCA